ACGUACUGGCAUUGUUGGUUUCUCCCUUCUGACGAACCAUGAUGUCAUUUAUUUGGUGUUGUGGGGAAUCAGGACUGUUACUUUGAAAAAAUUAGAGUGUUUAAAGCAGGCUCACGCUUGAAUACAUUAGCAUGGAAUAAUGAAAUAGGACGUUUGAUUCUAUUUUGUUGGUUUCUAGGAUCGACGUAAUGAUUAAUAGGGAUAGUUGGGGGCAUUAGUAUUCAAUUGUCAGAGGUGAAAUUCUUGGAUUUAUUGAAGACUAACUACUGCGAAAGCAUUUGCCAAGGAUGUUUUCAUUAAUCAAGAACGAAAGUUAGGGGAUCGAAGACGAUCAGAUACCGUCGUAGUCUUAACCAUAAACUAUGCCGACUAGGGAUCGGAUGAUGUUAAUUUUUUAAUGACUCAUUCGGUGCCUUACG
rnacentral:rRNA from 1 species